GUGGGGAAUAUUGGGCAAUGGAGGAAACUCUUACCCAGCAAUGCCGCGUGAGUGAUGAAGGUCUUAUGGAUUGUAAAGCUCUUUGAUUGGGGACGAAUAAAUGACGGUACCCAAAGAACAAGCCCCGGCUAACUAUGUGCCAGCAGCCGCGGUAAUACAUAGGGGGCGAGCGUUGUCCGGAAUGACUGGGCGUAAAGGGUGUGUAGGCGGUUUAUCAAGUUAGAAGUGUAAUACCUAGGGCUUAACUCAGGUGCUGCUUCUAAAACUGAUAGACUUGAGUGUGGGAGAGGAUGAUGGAAUUCCUAGUGUAGCGGUGGAAUGCAUAGAUAUUAGGAGGAACACCAGAGGCGAAGGCGAUCGUCUGGACCAUAACUGACGCUGAGGCACGAAAGCGUGGGGAGCAAACAGGAUUAGAUACCCCUGUAGUCC
rnacentral:rRNA from 1 species